GGUGAAGCGGAGAAUUUAAGCCCCAGUAAACGGCGGUGGUAACUAUAACCAUCCUAAGGUAGCGAAAUUCCUUGUCGGGUAAGUUCCGACCUGCACGAAUGGCGUAACGACUUCCCAACUGUCUCAACCAUAGACUCGGCGAAAUUGCACUACGAGUAAAGAUGCUCGUUACGCGCGGCAGGACGAAAAGACCCCGGGACCUUCACUACAACUUGGUAUUGGUGUUCGGUACGGUUUGUGUAGGAUAGGUGGGAGACUGUGAAACCUCGACGCUAGUUGAGGUGGAGUCGUUGUUGAAAUACCACUCUGAUCGUAUUGGACACCUAACGUCGAACCGUAUAUCCGGUUCACGGACAGUGCCUGGUGGGUAGUUUAACUGGGGCGGUUGCCUCCUAAAAUGUAACGGAGGCGCCCAAAGGUUCCCUCAACCUGGACGGCAAUCAGGUGUUGAGUGUAAAUGCACAAGGGAGCUUGACUGCGAGACUUACAAGUCAAGCAGGGACGAAAGUCGGGAUUAGUGAUCCGGCACCUCUGAGUGGAAGGGGUGUCGCUCAACGGAUAAAAGGUACCCCGGGGAUAACAGGCUGAUCUUCCCCAAGAGUCCAUAUCGACGGGAUGGUUUGGCACCUCGAUGUCGGCUCGUCGCAUCCUGGGGCUGGAGCAGGUCCCAAGGGUUGGGCUGUUCGCCCAUUAAAGCGGCACGCGAGCUGGGUUUAGAACGUCGUGAGACAGUUCGGUCUCUAUCCGCCGCGCGCGUCAGAAACUUGAGGAAACCUGUCCCUAGUACGAGAGGACCGGGACGGACGAACCUCUAGUGCACCAGUUGUCCCACCAGGGGCACUGCUGGAUAGCUACGUUCGGACAGGAUAACCGCUGAAAGCAUCUAAGCGGGAAACCUUCUCCAAGAUCAGGUUUCUCACCCUCUAGGAGGGAUAAGGCCCCCAGCAGAACACUGGAUUGAUAGGCCAGACCUGGAAGCUCAGUAAUGAGUGCAGGGAACUGGCACUAACCGGCCGAAAACUUACCAACACAACC
rnacentral:rRNA from 1 species